rnacentral:lncRNA from 1 species
AGGAUGCUUAUGUGGUGCCAAAAGAAUGGAAGAAAUUGGUGAUUACAUCAGCCGGCCACAAAUGGAGAGAGUUCAAGAGCAAACUAACCAACUGGUACAUUAUUCCCUAUCUGGAUUCUCCUGAACUUUUACAGUUCCCUCCAGAUGAUUAUCGAUCCAUUGAGGUAGAUGAAUGGAAUACGUUCGUGGCUGAUAGAACUUCACAACAAUUUCAGAUACUCCGUGAAAAGCAGAGAAUAAAGAGGAAGGAGAAUAAGUAUCCUCAUCGAAUGUCAUGGAAAGGAUAUGCUAACUUCCAAGAAGAACUGGCUGAAAAAAAUACCGAUUGAAGAAUUGGAUUGUGCUACGAUGUGGAUAAAGGCCCGGCAAGACAAGAGUGGCAACUUCAAAGGGCCAGCAGUGAAGAAGAAGGUCGAAAAAAUUGAAAGUUUGAAGAGGAAAGUGUUUGAAGGAGAAAUCAACCCUGAAGGAACAGAUGAUGUUCUGACUUUGGUGUUGGGAAAUCCUGAGUAUCCUAGUAGGGUACGCGGUGUUGGUGGCUUCGUCAAGCCUUCAGCAUAUUUUCAUCUACCUAAACGCCAAAUGCUAAAUGUAGAAGAUAGUGUCAAGGUAAGUGUUAAGAAGAUACUAGCAGAAGAGAAAGAAAAUAUCAUUGCUCAGGAAAGAGCCAAAUGGGAGUUGGAGAUGGAGCAACAAAUUGCUAGGGAAAGAGCCGCUUGGGAGGAAAGGUUUCAGAAGUUAGAAGCGAUGGUUAAUGGGAAAGAGAUGCCAGCUGACUCACCCAAACCUGUGACACCGCUGAAUGAUUUAGGCUCUGGCCAGGGC